GUUCCACAUACCACAUAAAGAGACAGGCAUAGCUGGUGCAGACAUGAUGGGCUAAACGGCCUCCUUUUGUGCCGUUAAAAAUUCUGAAAUUCUGAAUUUUUUGUUUUCCCUUUUUCCUUGAAACGCUUGUAUUUCUCACUCUUCCCCCAAACUCAAUGCUUUACCUGCAAUUUUCCUUUUGGUCACAUAGUACCUGAGACAUGUUGCUCAGUAAGUAGCAUUCUUGUCCCUUGAGUCAGGAGGUUGUGGGUUCAAGUCCCAUUCCAGAGGAAAUCUUGGCUGACUCUCCAGUAUUGAGGGAGUAUGCUAAGUUUCAGACAAGAUGUCUGCCCUUUCCUGUGGAUUUAAAAGACUCUGUCGUUAUUUAAAGAGGAGAGGGGAAUUCUGAUCAAUAUUUAUCCCUCAUUCAAUGUCAUGAAAAACAGAUUGCCUGGUCAUUAGCACAUCGUUGUUUGUGGGACCUUGCUGUGCACAAUUUGCAUGCUGCCUUUACAACACUGCUUCCACUUCAAUUGGCUGUCAUUGGGAUAUCCUACGGCCAUGAAAAGCACAAUCUAAUAUGAUUUCAAGCUUUUCUUCCUUGCACAAAACCAACAGAUUAACAUGUACGUCCUCAUAUUCCAGCACUAAAAGUGAUUUGUUGCUGCAGCACCUCAGGAUUUGCUGUUCUCCCCUCUCACUCAGUACCAAUGUGAGCUGCUGUCAAGCCCAGCUAACCUGGAGAAGAAUGAGAAAGUUGGCAAAUUAUCUGACAGUCCCGUGGAGUGACUGAUUAUCUGUGAGAUCUCAUCACAAUGUUCAUGCUCAUUAGGAACUGGACGAGCAAACUCAUUUCACACAGAACCCCAACAACCAGGAGACCGAUAAGACUUCCAUCCCAGCUAUCUGGUCGCAGGAGGAAGAGCCUAAGGCUACAUUCUGUCCUGGAUGAAUCUACUUCACAUUCUAAGUUUUCUUUUAAAGGUGCUGACUCAUGCUGUGUAACACAGGCACCUGCAGAUCUCUGGUACCUCACCCGAGUGUGUAAUAAUUGUCAAGGGCAAGUGGAAGGCCUAUUUCCAUAGCAGAGAACAGCUAAUGCUGCAUAGACCUUGAAUCGACCUACCUGGUCUCUAUGAUUCAGAAGUACACUGCAUCAAUCCAGUGGGGGAGAGCUUACCACCAAAUACUUCUGUCGCCUGGAUUUACAAACAUAUUUUAUACUUUCUAUGAGGCAGAUGCACAAUACUUGGCCUACAUUAGAAGAAAUUGUAAUUCAAAAUUGCUGUGAAGCACUUUAAGAUGUCCCAACGUACUGAAAGACACAAAACAAAAAUAAAAAUACCUGGAAAAACUCAGCAGGUCUGGCAGCAUCUGCGGAGAGGAACACAGUUAACGUUUCGAGUACGAAUGACCCUUCAACAGUACUGAAAGACACUGUAGAAAUGCAAAAUUCGUUCUUUAAUAAAUUACUUAAUUUACACAUUAA